rnacentral:rRNA from 1 species
AUUGAACGCUGGCGGCAUGCUUUACACAUGCAAGUCGAACGGCAGCACGGGCUUCGGCCUGGUGGCGAGUGGCGAACGGGUGAGUAAUAUAUCGGAACGUACCCAGAAGUGGGGGAUAACGUAGCGAAAGUUACGCUAAUACCGCAUACGAUCUAUGGAUGAAAGCAGGGGACCGCAAGGCCUUGUGCUCCUGGAGCGGCCGAUAUCUGAUUAGCUAGUUGGUGAGGUAAAGGCUCACCAAGGCGACGAUCAGUAGCUGGUCUGAGAGGACGACCAGCCACACUGGAACUGAGACACGGUCCAGACUCCUACGGGAGGCAGCAGUGGGGAAUUUUGGACAAUGGACGCAAGCCUGAUCCAGCAAUGCCGCGUGAGUGAAGAAGGCCUUCGGGUUGUAAAGCUCUUUUGUCAGGGAAGAAACGGUAGAGGCUAAUAUCCUUUGCUAAUGACGGUACCUGAAGAAUAAGCACCGGCUAACUACGUG